CGCCUUGCCAGCCCGCUCAGAACUUAAAGGAAUUGACGGGGCCCGCACAAGCGUGGAGCAUGUGGUUUAAUUCGAAGCAACGCGAAGAACCUUACCAGGCCUUGACAUGCAGAGAACUUUCCAGAGAUGGAUUGGUGCCUUCGGGAACUCUGACACAGGUGCUGCAUGGCUGUCGUCAGCUCGUGUCGUGAGAUGUUGGGUUAAGUCCCGUAACGAGCGCAACCCUUGUCCUUAGUUACCAGCACGUUAUGGUGGGCACUCUAAGGAGACUGCCGGUGACAAACCGGAGGAAGGUGGGGAUGACGUCAAGUCAUCAUCGGCCCUUACGGCCUGGGCUACACACGUGCUACAAUGGUCGGUACAAAGGGUUGCCAAGCCGCGAGGUGGAGGCUAAUCCCAUAAAACCGUAUCGUAGUCCGGAUCGCAGUCUGCAACUCGACUGCGUGAAGUCGGAAUCGCUAGUAAUCGUGAAUCAGAAUGUCACGGUGAAUACGUUCCCGGGCCUU
rnacentral:rRNA from 1 species